GACGAACGCUGGCGGCGUGCUUAACACAUGCAAGUCGAGCGGUAAGGCCCUUUCGGGGGUACACGAGCGGCGAACGGGUGAGUAACACGUGGGUGACCUGCCUCUAGCUCUGGGAUAAGCCUGGGAAGCUGGGUCUAAUACUGGAUAUGACUCCACGGUGCAUGUCGUGGGGUGGAAAGCCUUGUGCGGCUGAGGAUGGGCCCGCGGCCUAUCAGCUUGUUGGGGGUGAUGGCCUACCAAGGCGACGACGGGUAGCCGGCCUGAGAGGGCGACCGGCCACACUGGGACUGAGAUACGGCCCAGACUCCUACGGGAGGCAGCAGUGGGGAAUCUUGCGCAAUGGGCGAAAGCCUGACGCAGCGACGCCGCGUGA
rnacentral:rRNA from 1 species